rnacentral:rRNA from 1 species
UACGAAGGGUGCAAGCGUUACUCGGAAUUACUGGGCGUAAAGCGUGCGUAGGUGGUUUGUUAAGUCUGAUGUGAAAGCCCUGGGCUCAACCUCGGAACUGCCUUUGAUACUGCAAAUCUCGAGUCCGGAAGAGGUGAGUGGAAUUCCUAGUGUAGAGGUGAAAUGCGCAGAUAUCAGGAGGAACACCGGUGGCGAAGGCGGUUCUCUGGGCAUGUCCUGACGCUGGAGGAGCGAAAGCGUGGGGAGCGAACAGG